UAUAUAUAUGUAUUUAUUAAAUAUUUAAUAGAAGUUUCAAUGUACAGCUCAGCAACUUUUUACAAUACUGUUUGUUGAAAAUUUCCAAGUAGAUAUAGAGAAAAUAAUUAAUUGAAUUAUUUUAUUAUAUAGUAUGUGUCAUAUAAUGUUGCUAUUUCUGUAUUUAGAGGUAGGAUCACAAAAGCUAUUAUUUUAUUCUUUGAACAAAUCUAUCACACCGUUCUGAGCCGAAAAACCUUUAUUGCACUUUCUUACAUAGACUAGGGAUAAAAAGCAAAAGAAUAUCUUAAACCUAUCGAUCAAAUCUAUCGAUUGUAUCUAG
rnacentral:misc_RNA from 1 species